GAGAUAGUGCCGAAUACCCACGAGCAAUAAAUUGUAAUCCUCUCAAUUUAUUCAUUUGAUACCUUCUUGCUACCAAACUACUCUCAUGUGAAAAAUAAGACUCUCAUAGCCUUAUUUAUAGUAUUCUUCAUAAUUCAUUCUUAUUAUGGUUUAGAAACAAUUUAUUCUCCUAAUUAAUUUAGGGAUCACAUCUCCUUGUCAUAGUCA
rnacentral:lncRNA from 1 species